rnacentral:tRNA from 1 species
AAUAGAGUGCCUGAUUUUAAAAGGAUUAUCUUGAUAGGAUAAAUUAUGUGUUCAUACACCUUUAUUA